UACCUUUAUCUUCAACUAUCAUCUCCUCUCUUUCCACACUGAGAUCCAUCUCCUCUCUUUCCACAUCGAUCUUCUCUCUCCGUCGAGAUCUAUCGUCGCCUCUGUCGAGAUCCAUCGUUGUUUCUCUCUCACGCAGCCGCCGACAAGCGAUUACAGAGAACCGAUCAAAACCUCCAAAAUGUCGACUCCUGUACGAGAUUCACAACUUGUAUGUCUCUAAUCUGUGUAAUUUAUUGAUUUUGUUUUUUUUGCUGUCAAAAAAUCAAUGACUGUUGGUUUAUACUUCUCAUUCGAAUAGUUUGAUCUAAGAGAAACAGUUUAUAUGAUGAACAUUGAUUUUUAAAAAUCUCGGUUUAAGUAAUUUUAGGAUUUGCUUCCUUCUGUUAUCCAAAAGGCAAAUAAGGAUGAUUUGGACUUGUUAUUUGAAUGGUUUUAGUUAAGAUUAAGAUUUUCGGAUAGUGAACACUGCAUUUUUACAGAAUUAUAAUCCCUUAUAAAUCUGGGUUUCAGGAUAUUGUUAAAAGUACAACUCAACUAUUUAUAAGCCUUUAUAAAGAAGUUUUUAAACAAGAGUUGAUUGCAUGUAAAAUAUAUAAAUGUGUUCAAGUAAUUUUAUGAUUUGCUUUCUUCUGUUAUCCAAACAACAAAUAAGGUUGAUUUGGACUUGUCAUUUGAAUAGUUCAGAUAGUGAACACUGCAUUUUUACAAAAUUAUAAUCUCUUAUAAAUCUGGAUUUCAAGAUAUUGUUAAAAGUACAACUCGAUUUAUAAGUCUUUAUAAAGAAGAACGAUUUAGCAAUUGAGGGUAGUGUCUAUUACUUGCAGUGUUGAGAUGUCUAUCUUUAGACCAUGAUUAAAAGUUAACUUCAUAUUUUUAUUUUGUUUUGUAGUUAGAUAGCACUGAAUUUUGAAAUAGGAGAAGACACAAGAUGAAGAAGAACAACAAGUGGAAGCUGAUACUGAAAUCGACAACGGUGAUACAGGAAGACAAAGUUCAAAAAUCAAUUAAAUAAGUUAAUUUAUAAAUCCUUAUAAACUGAGACUAUCAAUUUUAAAAUUAUAAGUCUUUAUAAAUCUGCUAUUGUUUUAUAAAUUGAUAAAGCUAAUUGAUGUGUAUGAACCUUUAUAAUAGGAUUUGAUAUAGGAGGAAGAAGAACAACAUGUAGAAGGUGGUACAGAAGUUGUUGACAGUGGUAAAGGAAGUGAAACCUCAAAAAACGAUGAAAUAAGCUUAUUUAUAAAGUUUUAUAAAUUGAUAAUCUUUUCAAAUGUUUAUUAAAGCUUAGGUAACUUUUAUUAUCGAAAUUGGAGGAUGAAGAAGUAAAUGAAGAUGUAUCCAAAGAGCCCGAGAAAGUUAAAGAGAAGAAACAAGGAACAAGAAAGAAGGUAAGAAAUAUUUAAAAUCUGUGUAUAAUGGUUUAUAAAAUUACUUCCAAGUAUCAGUUUGUUAUUUAUAAACUCUUAUAAAUCGAUCAUUGUUUUUUGUAAAUUGGGUCGGAUGGAAGAGGUUGAAGAAGUAAAUGGAGAUGCAUCGAGCGUGUGCGGGAAAGUUAAAAAGAAGAAAAUGCAAGUUAAAAAGAACAUACUAGGAAGAGAAAAAAGGCAAGAAUUGUUUAAGAUUUAUUUACAAUGGUUUAUAGCAUUCUCUUUCACAUUUCAUUGAGUAUGUCCAAAGGAAAACAUGCAUGUUUACAAGUUCAUAAUGAAUGUGUUUUGGGUUUUGUUUGAAUGAAGGAAAAUGUUAACGAGAUAGGAUGUGUAUAAAACUAUUACCUUUGUAAAUCUGUUAUUGCUUUUUUGUUAAAUAGGGGAACACAGAUGAGGAAGAAGAACAACAUGUAGAAGAUGAUACACAAGUUGAUGAGGGCGGUAAAGGAGAUGAAACUUCAAAAACAAGUUUUACAGUCAAUUUCAAAAAAUUUCCGAUGCGGCGAUGAUGAUGAUCCUCCUCUACUGUAAAAUUGAUUUGUGAUGGAGUUUAUUUGCGACAUUACGAAGAAUAGCUAUAAGUUGAAGCUAUAGAUUCUCUUCCUCUAGCAUCAGAUCAUCUUUGAUCACUUCACAGGUUUGAGGAGAUUGUAGAAUCUGGGUUUUUACCAUUGAAAUAUAUUAAAGUUUAGGGAUUACUAUUUAUUGCAACA